rnacentral:rRNA from 1 species
GACGAACGCUGGCGGCGUGCUUAACACAUGCAAGUCGAACGGAAAGGCCCUGCUUUUGUGGGGUGCUCGAGUGGCGAACGGGUGAGUAACACGUGAGUAACCUGCCCUUGACUUUGGGAUAACUUCAGGAAACUGGGGCUAAUACCGGAUAGGAGCUCCUGCUGCAUGGUGGGGGUUGGAAAGUUUCGGCGGUUGGGGAUGGACUCGCGGCUUAUCAGCUUGUUGGUGGGGUAGUGGCUUACCAAGGCUUUGACGGGUAGCCGGCCUGAGAGGGUGACCGGCAACAUUGGGACUGAGAUACGGCCCAGACUCCUACGGGAGGCAGCAGGGGGGAAUAUUGCACAAUGGGCGGAAGCCUGAUGCAGCAACGCCGCGUGCGGGAUGACGGCCUUCGGGUUAUAAACCGCUUUCGCCUGUGACGAAGCGUGAGUGACGGUACUGGGUAAAGAAGCACCGGCUAACUACGUG